AACGAACGCUGGCGGCAUGCCUAACACAUGCAAGUCGAACGAGAUCUUCGGGUCUAGUGGCGCACGGGUGCGUAACGCGUGGGAAUCUGCCCUUUGGUUCGGAAUAACAGUUGGAACCGACUGCUAAUACCGGAUGAUGACGAAAGUCCAAAGAUUUAUCGCCAGAGGAUGAGCCCGCGUAGGAUUAGCUAGUUGGUGUGGUAAAGGCGCACCAAGGCGACGAUCCUUAGCUGGUCUGAGAGGAUGAUCAGCCACACUGGGACUGAGACACGGCCCAGACUCCUACGGGAGGCAGCAGUGGGGAAUACUGGACAAUGGGCGAAAGCCUGAUCCAGCAAUGCCGCGUGAGUGAUGAAGGCCUUAGGGUUGUAAAGCUCUUUUACCCGGGAUGAUAAUGACAGCACCGGGAGAAUAAGCUCCGGCUAACUCCGUGCCAGCCGCCGCGGUAA
rnacentral:rRNA from 1 species